GCAGAAGCAAAAAACCAAGGAGCUCAUCCCAUUCCCAGGUGACGACCGAUUACAAAUUUACAAGGCGACAGAAGAAAAGACAAUGCAGCACCACCACCACCACUCAUCCACAGCCACCUCAUCGGACUAUGGCUCCAAGAGCCACCGCUCGCUCGCCCUCUUACAUCCUUCCAUCCGUCGUCGCCUUAUCCCUCCUCUCUCUCGUUGUCGUUGUCUACAAGGUGGACGACUUCGCCACUCAGACGAAGACAUUGGCGGGCCACAACCUUGACCCAACGCCAUGGCACCUCUUCCCUCCCAAGACCUUUUCCGACGAGGCCCUUCACGACCGAGCCUACAAGCUCAUCCACUGCUCCUACCUCGCUUGCCGCUACAGAAACAACGACAUCCCUGAACGGCAUCGUCCUCCUUCGUCCAGCGCGAAAGCCCCAAAAUGCCCCAAUUUCUUCCGAUGGAUCCACCACGAUCUGGAGCCGUGGGCCCGAACCCGGAUCUCCGCGGCCCAUCUGGAGGCGGCAAAGCAGUACGCUGCGUUUCGUGUGGUGAUUGUUGGCGGGAAGCUGUAUGUGGAUUUGUACUGGGCUUGUGUGCAGAGCCGAGCCAUGUUCACCAUUUGGGGUUUGCUGCAGCUCCUUGCGAGGUACCCGGAUCGGGUUCCGGAUGUAGAUAUCAUGUUUGAUUGUAUGGACAAGCCCAUUAUUAACCGGACCGAGCAUGAAUCAAUGCCUUUGCCACUUUUCCGGUACUGUACGGAUGAAGAUCACUUUGAUAUCCCAUUUCCUGAUUGGUCUUUCUGGGGUUGGUAAGAAUCAUCAGUCUUUGAUUAUUAUAUGCUUGUUUUAUACGCAUUGCCCUUGACUCAAUGGGAAAGAACCUACAUUUAUGAUUUGUUUGUGUAUGCUUGAAUUGCUAUAAGAAAUUGUAAAUUGGAAUAUGCUUGGCUCCGAUCCUGCAUCUCACAAAUCUUUUCCUCCUGUUGAAGGUAUAAAAUCUAUGCAGAAGGCUAUGCUUGGUCCGUGAGCUUGAAAUAUAUUGUAUCAUGUGGUUCUCUUGCAUUAAUAAUAACCCCUCAAUAUGAGGAUUUCUUCAGCCGUGGUCUCAUUCCUAGGGUUAACUAUUGGCCUAUCUCUCCCAAUGCUAUAUGCCCGUCCAUAAAGUCUGCUGUUGACUGGGCCCAUGGACACCAAUCUGAGGCUAAGGAAAUAGGACAAAGAGGGCAAGAUUUUAUGGAAAGCCUAAGCAUGGACCGGGUCUAUGAUUACAUGUUUCACCUCAUCACAGAGUACUCGAAGCUACUGGACUUCAAGCCAGUCCCUCCAGAUUCUGCUCUGGAAGUGUGUGCGGAAUCCCUGAUUUGUCUUGCCGACACGAAACAGAGGCAUUUUUUUGAAAAGACAACUGCAUACCCUUCUGCUAGCCCCCCAUGCACUCUCCAGUCGGCCGAUAGUAAUCUCAUCAAGAGAUGGAGGCAGAAAAAGAAGGAAAUAAUGGAGGCUGUGGAGGAUAUGAAUCCAAAAGAAUUGAGACGAUUAAACUAGGAUGCUGCCAUAGUUUUAUAUAAUCAUAAUUUUAUAGAGUUUUUAGUUGGUGGGUAGUCUUAGAUGACCCCUGAAGUAGGGUUUUCUUCCCCCGUAAUUAUUUUUUUGCGUGUAAAGAGUAUAGCAUUGGUGGACAACAUUUGGGACUGGAAAAAGACACAUACAACAAUAAAAUACUUUGUGAUUAUUUUCUUC